rnacentral:rRNA from 1 species
ACUCCUACGGGAGGCAGCAGUGGGGAAUAUUGCACAAUGGGGGAAACCCUGAUGCAGCCAUGCCGCGUGAGCGAUGAAGGCCUUAGGGGUUGUAAAGCUCUUUCAGGUGGGAAGGAUAAUGACGGUACCACCAGAAGAAGCCCCGGCUAACUCCCGUGCCAGCAGCCGCGGUAAUACGGAGGGGCUAGCGUUGUUCGGAAGUUAACUGGGCGUAAAGCGCACGUAGGCGGA